rnacentral:rRNA from 1 species
AUGCCUGCGAUGGCUGGGCUGGCAUGGCGCCACCCUGAGCGACCAUCGGUGGGGUCUGAACCACCCUGUGACAAGGAUGACAGGGCGUUGUUCGCCGCCACAACUACGGUGACGGUUGGUGAUGGCGCGGUGGCCUCCUUCUGGCACUCUUCCUGGCUGGGGGCGGGGAAACUCGCCACGGACUUCCCCAUGCUAUACAAGCACUGGAGAAAGGAAGAACAGGACUGUAAAAGGAGGCGCUCGCGGAGGACACCUGGAUCUGGGAUCUCACAAAUGUCAGCGUGCAAAACCUGGUGCACGAUUUCAUCUCAUGCAUCGGAAGAUCCAGGAGGCAGGCAUUGUCAGAAAUGA